GACGAACGCUGGCGGCGUGCUUAACACAUGCAAGUCGAACGGAAAGUCCCUGCUUUUUUUGGGUGCUCGAGUGGCGAAAGGGUGCGUAACACGUGAGUAACCUGCCCUCGACUGUGGGAUAACUUCCGGAAACUGGGGCUAAUACCGGAUAACAGCUCCUGCUGCAUUGUGGGGGUGGUAAAAUUUCGGCGGGUGGGGAUGGAGUUUGCGCUUAUCAGCUUGUUGGUCGGGUAGUGGCUUACCCAGGCGUUGACGGGUUGGCGGCCUGAGAGGGGGAACGGCGACACGGGGACUGCGACAACGCCCAGAAUCAGAAGGGAGGAAGCAGUGGGGAAUAUUGCACAAUGGCAGGAAGGCUGAGGCAGCAACGCCGGGUGUGGGAUGACGGAAUUGGGGUUGCAAACCGCUUUCACAUGCGACGAAGCGUGAUUGACGGUAAUGGGUAAAGAAGCAACGGCUAACUACGUG
rnacentral:rRNA from 1 species